UUUGAUUAUAGUGAUUUGGAGUUGAUUGAGAGGUAUCCAGGGGUUCAGGAACAGAGUUGAUCUCCAGAGAGACAGUCUGGAAGGAGUGUGAAGUGAAGUGGUCCGUUGCACUUCUCAACUUCUCAUUCUCUUCUGGAAUCUUCAAUUUUUUCUUCUUACUCCUCCCCCACUCUCUCUGCAGCUGUCUCUGUCAGAGACUGCUCUCUGCUCCAAGUGGACUAUCUCUCUAUCUUACAGCAACUUUGUAAGAUGGAGGUUUACUUUGCUCCAACCCUGCAAGGAUAUAACUAUGACUGCAUCCAAUCUGUUCUUGGCUUCCACUGCAAACAUUGCUACCAGCUGUUCCAUGGAUGUUGCCAGGAUAUCAAUGAGAAAAUGAGAAAUCCCCAAACUGCUGGAACCUUCUGAACGUUUGAGGCUCACAAGGUCCUCCUCUGACCAAGGAGAUGAGACAGAGAUUAGAACCUGGAACUCUUUUCCUCUUCAUUUGAUUGAAUCUCUUGGGUUCUGGUUUUAUAUAGGACAUAGAGGGUGUGACCAAAACCUUCAACCAAUCAGAAUGGAAACCUGUCAUACUUAGGAAGGUAUAUAAGUCCUGUUCCUUUCCAGUGAAUAAUAAAGAUUUAUUUUCAUCUGAU